rnacentral:tmRNA from 1 species
ACGCUUUUCUUUCGCGACAAAAUGCCUAUAUGGGGAAUUGCCGGUUUCGACCGGCUAUGGCGAUAAAUUGUGGCGUGCAAUAGGCACAGCGGACCCGGGGGCAGUACCCGGCGGCUCCACCAUAACCGGUGGUGUAUCUGGACACCGUUUCUGACGGGGCCGAACCAGGAUCGACGUGUGUUGAAAAACGCUGUUUUCGCUCGGAAUGGGACCACCGAAACGGCCCAUAUUCACAAGUGCCAACGAUAACGAAGCACUCGCUAUUGCGGCGUAAUCUGACGGCCUAACGGCCAAAGAUUACUCUAAAAUGCGCGGUUGGACCGCACCGGGCAACAGAAGCGGAUUCC